AACGCACAUUGCGCCCUCUGGUAUUCCGGAGGGCAUGCCUGUUUGAGCGUCAUUUCUCUCUCAAGACGCAAGUUUUGGUAUUGAGUGAUACUCUAUUGAGUUAACUUGAAAUAGGAGAAAAGCGUGGGUGAGACGUGAGCGACUUGCGAUAAAGCAAACAUAAUGUAUUAGGUUCUGCCGACUCCGUUAUGUGUUAUUGCGAUGGAGCUUAUGUGUAACACCAGCACAACAAGACUCCCAAGUUUGACCUCAAAUCAGGUAGGACUACCCGCUGAACUUAA
rnacentral:misc_RNA from 1 species